rnacentral:rRNA from 1 species
AUGAUGGAGUGCAGCAGGGAGGCCGAGCAGGCGCCAGAGGUGCGGGUCAAGCCGCCGCCGCCGCCGCCGCUCACCCAUGAGGACAACCGCCGCUUCCUCCAGAUGCUCCGCGAGAAGAAGGAAAGGUACGGGGUCGUCUCCGAGAAGGUGGAGGUACGGUUCGAGGAGCUCACCGUGGAGGCCGACGUGCGCGUAGGCCGCCGCGCGCUGCCGACGCUGCUCAACUGCGCCGUCAACGCUGCCCAGGAAUUGGCAACAUAUUCACACAUGUGUACUGCAAGGAAAGAACCCAUCAAGAUUAUAAAUGGAGCGAGCGGGACAAUCCGUUCAUCGCGGAUGACACUUCUUCUAGGAGCUCCUAGUUCCGGGAAAACAACUUUUUUAAAAGCACUUGCACAGAAGUUGGAUUCUUCUUUGAAGCCAAUAUGA